UCGGCUACCAUGCCCACAAAGAUUCAGAAAUUUGCUAGAAGUGCAUUGGUAAAACCCAUUAUUGUGAAUGUCGGAAGGGCUGGAGCAGCAAAUCUUGAUGUAAUUCAAGAAGUUGAAUACGUGAAACAGGAGGCAAAAAUUGUUUACCUUCUCGAAUGCUUGCAAAAAACCCCACCCCCCGUUCUAAUAUUCUGCGAGAAUAAAGCUGACGUGGACGACAUUCAUGAAUACCUUCUUCUGAAGGGAGUUGAAGCUGUGGCAGUUCAUGGAGGGAAGGAUCAAGAAGAGAGAGAGUAUGCUAUUUCAUCUUUCAAAUCUGGCAAGAAGGAUGUUUUAGUUGCCACAGAUGUAGCAUCAAAAGGUCUUGAUUUCCCUGAUAUUCAGCAUGUUAUCAAUUACGAUAUGCCUGCCGAGAUAGAAAAUUAUGUUCAUAGGAUUGGAAGAACUGGAAGAUGUGGAAAGACAGGAAUUGCAACGACAUUUAUUAAUAAGAACCAGAGUGAAACAACGCUUCUUGAUCUGAAGCACCUGUUGCAAGAGGCGAAGCAGAGGAUACCUCCAGUUCUGGCCGAGCUUAAUGAUCCAAUGGAAGAUGUGGAGGAAAUAGCCAAUGCAAGUGGAGUUAAAGGCUGCGUCUACUGUGGUGGGCUUGGUCAUCGUAUCCGCGAUUGCCCCAAGUUAGAGCAUCAAAAAAGCAUGCAAAUUGCUAGCUCAAGGAGGGAUUAUUUCGGGUCUGGGGGUUACCGAGGGGAAAUGUGAUUUAUACUUUAGAUAUACAUAUUUGUAGUUUGAGCAGCGUUUCAGUUUGUAAUGAGCCAACAGUGCAUGUUCUAGAAUUUUCAGCAAUGCGUUCAGUUUUGUAUGUGCUUCUUUGUCUUUAAUGUUCUUGGGUAUAUGCUCAUCUGCCUUUUGCAUUAGCAGUUCUGAAAGUGUAAAUUUCGAAUAAACUGUCAAAAGAUAAGAGAUUCGAAUCUGCCUAUGAUGUUAGAUAAAUUUUACACCAAAGCAACAAAUUACAUAAAAUGGAUGAACGGCUGGAAAUGGAAAAAAAGAAUGCAUGGGGCAAAACUUGAAUUUAUUGGGACGAGGCCUAGUUUGCUUAUGUUGUCAAAUGAACUCAUUGGAUUCCUGAACAAGUGGUUCAUCCGUUUGGGGACUUGUAUGCAACUUCAGUUGAAACCUAAACAUACUGCUUGGGUCUUAAAUCUCUGAUGAUAAGUGAUGGAUUUGACUCUUGGCACAUAACUAGCAAUAUACCAACCCUUGUGUCCUGUAAUUCCUCCCACAACAAAAAUAAAAAUAUUAGGAAGGUAGAAAUAACAAGCUCUUGAAAUUGGAAAUAUAUUAUAAUCGAUUCAAACAAAUAGAAAUUUGUGUUACUAAGUAUGUAGCACUUGUGGAUUUCAUGAUAUGUGUGGAUUAAAAAUAGUUUUGACCAAUUAUGUUUGUAAAUUAAAAUAGAUGUCAAACAAGGGGAUAGAUAGAUUGCACUAACUGGCAAUGCAACACAAAAGGGUGGUAGAUCAUGGUUAUACACGCACUCUCCAUUCACAUCAGUGUGUUUAUAGAUGAACUGAUGCAUUGUGAUAGACCUACAGAUGUAAGUUGCAUUGUUUUGAGGCGGCCCCUGGCCCGCAUACAAUCAGACGCAAGGAUAGGCCGGCAUAUUUUAACACCCUCUAGAUAGAAGAGAUGGAAGCUGUGUAAUCUAGCACUGCUGGAAAUGAUACAUGGUAAUGCAGAGAACAAAUAGAAGAAGGUAGUAUAAUACAUGAUCAUAUUUCAGGCAAUUCUGGUGAGAAAGAAUAACUUACGCAAAAAUAGAAAAGGCAUUAUCUUGAGAGGCUUAAUCAUAUUAACUCUAUCCAUGAUAAUUCUCCAAACAUGAAAGGGAAGUCACAAAAUUGGCUAUGAAACAUGAUGGCAAAAGUGGACGUCUAUGCUCACCACAGAGAACUGCAGAGUCAAUUGAGGAGUGUUUAUUCAGUUACUUUGCAUAGGUCUGUAAGAGAAAUGAGUCUCUACUUACGCAUGUGAGAGAAUUUAGAUGCUGCAAGAUUUGCACCACUAUUGAUAUUUUAUGCACCAAAUUUAGCAUUUUACAUAGGCAAACAAAGGGCUCAGAAAGAUAGGUUAGCGACCAGGCAAAAGGUUGGAAUUGAUAGAGAAGGGCCUGGGAUCCUAUUCCUGUACUUGAAUGAUCGGAUAACUAUACGAGUGUUGCCAAAUUGGAAGAAAUCUUCGGCUGCAAGGGGUAAUGUCUCAGCCAGUGCAGAAAAGUGUGAAACCCGACGCGACAAGUGUCUCACCGGGGUGGCAGCCCUGACAGCACAGCACAGCACAGCUUUACCACCCUAGAAUAGGAAGAACCAUGUAAAAUAUUAAUGGAGGCUAAAAAUUAUCACGAAAAACAUCAUUGAGAUGUUUGAAGAUAGAAAGCAAAAUGAUUAUUAAUUUCAAACCCUAUUACACAUGAGAUCUGAAGUUACUAAAUUUCAAGGAUUUUGUAUGGAAAAAAGAUGUGAGGAUUAUAAUUCCUCAACGAAUUAUCAAGAUAAUGUACAAACAAGAAAAUAACACCACACACCAGUACCAAGCAAUAACAGAGACGAACAGGAACGAGAAGAACAAUGGAAACGAGAAUAUUUUAUUUGCAUUAACCAAAUCAGUCCUACUUUCGAAGCAGGGGCUCUUUUCCUUGAUCAAUCCACUAAAGAAUGAGAUUACACUCUAUAUACAAUCAUAAGCACUCAGAUAUACACAUGAAGACGUUUACAAGAACAUAAUGAGAAAACUCUCUCUCUAGUUCACAGAGCCUGAUUUUUUAUAUUUCUUUCCCUCAGCUCUUUGAUUGAUCCCUUUAAAUAGGCAAAGGUAACCAAUCAGAAUAAAGCAAUAUCAAUGGAUAAGUAAUUCAGUUAUAAAAGUUGAGCUGCAGUCCCAACAGCCAUAACAAAACUAACAUGCUUUUAUUUAUUCUCACUAACUUUACUACAGAACUAAGAGGUCAAGUUCUUCACAAAAGAUUAUUACUUCAUUUAAUUGACAUAUCACAAAUCACUAUGGUGCAUACAAGAGCAAAAUCUACGUACCAUAAUGUCUGAAACAGAAGGGAUUUAGCAAUGAUGCACAUUACACAAAUGAGAAAAUCGACGCUAAAGGAAACAAGAUGUUAAGCAGCUUCAUCCAACUUUAUCCUAGUCUAGCAUUCCACGCUUGCACUUAUUUUAUUUCCUAUAUGCCUCAUUUUGUAGGGUAGACUACAGUACUCAAAUAGAAUUGAUGACAAAGAAAAAGAAGUAGAACAUCUGGUCUUAGUGUCAUAUCCUGUCUAGUCCAAUACUGUGUAUCAAACAUGCCCUUAGAUGAUUAUCUUAGUUGAAAUUAAAUUUACCGAACUAUAGGAGAAUGACAUUUAAAAACAGAAGAGAAUUGCAACUUCCUGAAUUUGCUUCUAGAUGCUGUUAAAGCAAAGCAAGCUCAGGGCAGAUUUUUAGAGGAACCUUCGGCUACAUAUUCCUGGAAUUAUGGAACAUAUUUUAUAACGAGUUUUAGUCGUUCACGUGCUUAUUGAUCUAACUAACACUUUUAGCCUUUAAUUUUGUAUUAUAUUGUUUCAUUAUAACACACAUUUGUAUAAUAACUUUUGGCUGCCAAUUAAAGGAAUCGUCACUGAAAUGUAUCUCGUCAUCAUAUGAAACGUAGGAUGAAACAAACAAGGUCCAAGUAAUGUCCGCCAUUUAUUAAGAAAGCAGUUUGAAAUUAUGUGCAUUUGACAACCUUAACAUAUAUACGUUGGAGUAAAUAAUUUUGUUUUGAAAUUAAUAUUUCAUUUUUUUAGGGCAAAAUUAGAAAUAAGCAGGUUAUUUAUUUUGUAAGAUCUCUCACCUUAUGACAGGAGUUUUAUUUUCUGAUGUUAGUAAUUUUCCAUUUUUAUUUGAAGUCUAGUCUAGUUAUUUGAAUAAGUCUAGCCUAGUUGUUGGAUCGUUGAAAUUAACUUGUGAACAUUGGGUCCACAUUUCUGGGAAUUUUUUGAAGUUCUCUGCUAUUUAUUCUAAAAUGAGGUAAACACAAGGCAUCCCUCUGCUUUACUUUGAUUGAUGUUGGAGGUUCUUGCUCCCUCAAACUAGCUAGACAAUCCUUGCUUUCUAGUUUACUCCCAAAAUAGGUAGGGGAAAUGCUAAUCCCCCAAGCAAGGCUGUACCACAAUGGUAUUAGAGAAUGGGAAUGGAUCACAGGUUGGAACAAUUGGAGGUGGCCAUAGGAACGAUAACAGGUCAGGAGGAGAUCUUGCGUAAAUUGUCCGAAGCAGUCAGUAUACUCACUGAUCGGGCGGAACAAAUCACCAUUCAGACCAGCGAGCUUGCUGGGAACUCUCUUAUUAGAAUGCACACUCCAGGCAGGGCGGAAGACUCAACAGCAGCCCAUAGCACACCAGUUGGGCGUGCAAAUGCCUUCGAGGGUUCACUGACAGGAUCUUAUGUUCCAAAAACGGUUAAGAUUGAUUUUCCUCGCUAUGAAGGAAAAGGAGAUCCAACUAUUUGGCUGUGCAAGGCUAACCAAUUUUUUCAAAUACAUGGAAUCCUUGUUCAAGAUCGAGUUGCAUUAGUUUCAUUUCAUUUNNNNNNNNNNNNNNNNNNNNNNNNNNNNNNNNNNNNNNNNNNNNNNNNNNNNNNNNNNNNNNNNNNNNNNNNNNNNNNNNNNNNNNNNNNNNNNNNNNNNNNNNNNNNNNNNNNNNNNNNNNNNNNNNNNNNNNNNNNNNNNNNNNNNNNNNNNNNNNNNNNNNNNNNNNNNNNNNNNNNNNNNNNNNNNNNNNNNNNNNNNNNNNNNNNNNNNNNNNNNNNNNNNNNNNNNNNNNNNNNNNNNNNNNNNNNNNNNNNNNNNNNNNNNNNNNNNNNNNNNNNNNNNNNNNNNNNNNNNNNNNNNNNNNNNNNNNNNUUUUUUUUUUUUUUUUUUUUUAAUGUGUUGGAGCCUGAUAUUUGAUUUGUGAUGACUCUUUGCUGUAUAUCAAGAUUGAACCUUUGAUUUGCUCAAAAAUUCAGCUGAAAUGUGCGGCUUUUGAAUUUUAACUUUCAGCAGUUAAAAGGAGAUGUUUUGUUUGAGCUAUUUUAGGAUUUGAAUUUUCAGGAAAAAAUGGAAGGAGAUGAUGACUAUGUGGAGUAUGUUCCAGUUGCCAAGCGUCGGGCAAUUGAGGCGCAGAAAAUUCUUCUGCACAAAGGGCAGGCUACCACGCUUGAUGAUGAUAUUGAAAUGCAGAAACUUCUUGAGGUUAAACCCAGUUUAUUGGUCAAGGCUUCUCAACUCAAGAAGGAGCAGCCAGAAGUAACUCAAACUGAGCAAAUAGUACAGCAGGAAAAGGAGAUGAUUGAAAAUUUGUCAGAUAGGAAAACUUUAAUGUCAGUUCGGGAGCUGGCAAAGGGAAUUACUUAUACGGAGCCUUUGUUGACUGGUUGGAAGCCACCAUUGCCGAUAAGGAGGAUGUCAAAGAAGGCGUGUGAUAUCAUUCGGAAGCAGUGGCAUAUUAUUGUGGAUGGUGAAGAUAUUCCCCCUCCGAUCAAGAAUUUUAAGGAUAUGCGAUUUCCCGAACCAAUUUUAAAGAAGUUGAAAGCCAAGGGGAUUGUUCAGCCUACACCGAUUCAAGUGCAGGGGCUGCCUGUUAUCUUAUCUGGCCGUGAUAUGAUUGGUAUUGCCUUCACAGGAUCUGGAAAGACUUUAGUUUUUGUGUUGCCGCUUAUCAUGAUUGCAUUACAAGAGGAGGUGAUGAUGCCAAUCGCGCCAGGUGAGGGACCAUUUGGCUUGAUUAUUUGCCCCUCUAGAGAGCUUGCUAGGCAGACGUAUGAGGUGGUGGAACAGUUUCUUGAACCCAUGAGAGAGUUUGGUUAUCCAGAGUUACGACCAUUACUUUGUAUUGGUGGCGUUGAUAUGAAGUCACAAUUAGAUGUAGUGAAGAAGGGCGUCCACAUAGUUGUUGCUACACCUGGGAGGCUAAAGGAUAUGCUAGCAAAGAAGAAAAUGAACCUUGAUAAUUGCAGGUAAGUACUCAUAUUUUUGUUGACACGUUAAAUUCUUAGUUAUUGCAGUUGAUGUUUUACAUUAAGUUAAUGUCAGCCAUGGAGCCAAUUCCGGCAAAAAUUUAAAGUACCAAAUUGUAUUUGUUGUUACUUUGUCGGAACUUUGCUAAUCAACAGAAUAGAUAGUUUUCAAGAUAUGGGGCCCCUGUUUCGUAAGGUGGACUGGCUUGUCAAUGUUCUCAAUUUAUUAACUCCGAUAAAAAAAUAGCUGCCUUUUUUGGUCAGAGGGUGGGGGUGAGAGUUGAGCAGUUGUCUGCUCUGCUAUAUUUGUGGGUGGCAUAUGUAUAAAUAAUCCAUGCUGUUCAACAUGGACUGGGUUACUAUUUUGCUAGGCCAAUUUUUCUGAAGAUGUUUAUCUAGUGUUGGCUUUUCCUGCAGAUAUUUGACUCUUGAUGAAGCAGAUCGGUUAGUGGAUCUGGGUUUUGAAGAUGACAUAAGAGAAGUUUUUGAUCACUUUAAAGCGCAAAGACAAACUCUUCUAUUUUCGGCUACCAUGCCCACAAAGAUUCAGAAAUUUGCUAGAAGUGCAUUGGUAAAACCCAUUAUUGUGAAUGUCGGAAGGGCUGGAGCAGCAAAUCUUGAUGUAAUUCAAGAAGUUGAAUACGUGAAACAGGAGGCAAAAAUUGUUUACCUUCUCGAAUGCUUGCAAAAAACCCCACCCCCCGUUCUAAUAUUCUGCGAGAAUAAAGCUGACGUGGACGACAUUCAUGAAUACCUUCUUCUGAAGGGAGUUGAAGCUGUGGCAGUUCAUGGAGGGAAGGAUCAAGAAGAGAGAGAGUAUGCUAUUUCAUCUUUCAAAUCUGGCAAGAAGGAUGUUUUAGUUGCCACAGAUGUAGCAUCAAAAGGUCUUGAUUUCCCUGAUAUUCAGCAUGUUAUCAA
rnacentral:lncRNA from 1 species